GCCCCUGUAGCUCAGCCGGUUAGAGCAGUGGACUCAUAAUCCAUUGGUCCUGGGUUCAAGUCCCAGCGGGGGUA
rnacentral:tRNA from 1 species